AAGGCCCCUUCGGGGGUACUCGAGUGGCGAACGGGUGAGUAACACGUGAGUAACCUGCCCUUGACUUCGGGAUAACUUCAGGAAACUGGGGCUAAUACCGGAUAGGAAUCCUUGCUGCAUGGUGGGGGUUGGAAAGCUUCGGCGGUUUUGGAUGGACUCGCGGCUUAUCAGCUUGUUGGUGGGGUAGUGGCUUACCAAGGCUUUGACGGGUAGCCGGCCUGAGAGGGCGACCGGCCACAUUGGGACUGAGAUACGGCCCAGACUCCUACGGGAGGCAGCAGUGGGGAAUAUUGCACAAUGGGCGGAAGCCUGAUGCAGCAACGCCGCGUGCGGGAUGACGGCCUUCGGGUUGUAAACCGCUUUCAGCAGGGGCGAAGCUUGUGGUGACGGUACCUGCAGAAGAAGCACCGGCUAACUACGUGCCAGCAGCCGCGGUGAUACGUAGGGUGCGAGCGUUGUCCGGAUUUAUUGGGCGUAAAGAGCUCGUAGGUGGUUGAUUGCGUCGGAAGUGAAAACUUGGGGCUUAACCCUGAGCGUGCUUUCGAUACGGGUUGACUUGAGGAAGGUAGGGGAGAAUGGAAUUCCUGGUGGAGCGGUGGAAUGCGCAGAUAUCAGGAGGAACACCAGUGGCGAAGGCGGUUCUCUGGACCUUUCCUGACGCUGAGGAGCGAAAGCGUGGGGAGCGAACAGGCUUAGAUACCCUGGUAGUCCACGCUGUAAACGGUGGGUACUAGGUGUGGGGUCCAUUCCACGGAUUCCGUGCCGUAGCUAACGCAUUAAGUACCCCGCCUGGGGAGUACGGCCGCAAGGCUAAAACUCAAAGGAAUUGACGGGGCCCCGCACAAGCGGCGGA
rnacentral:rRNA from 1 species